UACGUAGGGGGCAAGCGUUGUCCGGAAUCAUUGGGCGUAAAGAGCGCGUAGGCGGCCCAGUAAGUCCGCUCUGAAAGUCAGGGGGCUCAACCCCUGGAUGCGGGUGGAUACUGCUGGGCUAGAGUCCGGAAGAGGCGAGUGGAAUUCCUGGUGUAGCGGUGAAAUGCGUAGAUAUUGGGAGGAACACCAGUGGCGAAGGCGGCUCACUGGACCGGAACUGACGCUGAGGCGCGAAAGCGUGGGGAGCAAACGGG
rnacentral:rRNA from 1 species